AUGUUCGAGUAUCUAAAUGUUGUCAGCAAGAUGUUUGAUAGUGAGGCUGAAGGCUAUGAAUUCUACAACAAAUAUGCUCUUGAAAAAGGUUUUAGUGUGAGGAAAAGCUAUGUUGAGUGGGAUGGAUCCAACAAAUACAUAAUUUUAAGGAAAAUUAUGUGUAGUCGUCAAGGGUUUCGCGAAGAGAAGCACAUGAAAAGAAAAAUGGAAGAUAGAAAGAGGAGGCCACGAAGUUUAACUCGUGUUGGGUGUAAUGCUAAAUUGGUCAUUACGAGCAGGAGGAAACCGGUCGGUGGUUUGUCAAGGAUUUCAUCGAUGAGCACAACCAUCCUCUAG
rnacentral:rRNA from 1 species